GGAAUAUUCAUCCUUGAAGAAAUUGAGAGAUUAAGAAACACGACAUGAAAUAAUUUAAUGGACUGAAUCAUCUACUAGACGAUCCUUUAAUUAGGUUCAAACAAUUGGAUACGUGAUGGAAGUCAGCAAUAACACAAGUACGAACAACGAAAUCAGGAUGAAAAGGAAAAGGAAAAAAAUCGUUGCAGGUGAAACAGCAGCCUAAAUGGAAUCCAAAGCCUGAAGAACAUCAACUUUCACAUCUUCAAAAUCUUCCACUCCAAAGCUAAAUCGGACCAAGUUAUCCAAGAUGCCAUACUUUGCUCUAUCAGACUGGCUAAGAUCCCAAUAAGACAUUAUUGCUGGUUGGUCCACAAUGCUCUCACAACCUCCAAACGAUGGAGCAAUAUAAGGAAUCCUCAGAGCAUCCACAAAUUUUGCAGUAGUUAGGAGGUCUCCAUCAACCUCAAAACUGACCACACCACCAAAGCCAGUCAUU
rnacentral:misc_RNA from 1 species